UUUUUUUUAAGCACAAUAUUAACUAAAUAUCUUUAUUAUAUAAAUUAUAUGUUUUACUGUUUGAAUACAUAGUGAAAAUUCCCAUUCAUCUGCAUCUUUAGCACAGAUUUUAGAAGCUACAGUAAUUAGAAUAUGUUCACGGAACAGUUUCUGUGUAGAUUAAGCUGAGAACCUGGAACCACGAUGACAACAGAGAAACUGAGUACUCCUAACAAUUCUUGAUGAUAAUUUCCUUCACUUGUAGGCUGCAUCUUGAAGAUUAAGCAGAACUAAAUGGCUGAUAUCGAAUGGGUAAGCAUCGGAUGGUUCCAAAGCACUAUAAGAUCUUUCCCCGAUGAAUUUGUUGACAGCUUCUGUUGGAUGGUAAGAAUCCCAGAACGCAAACUCUGUCCUGUUCUUGCAUGGAAUUUGAUUUGCAAUACACUCACCAUCAAUUGCAACAGGGCAACACCCAGAACUUGAAUCCUUAAAAUUAAGAACAGAGGAAUCUGCACCAAUUGCAUAGUAGUUUAUGUAUAUGAAUUUCGCAUCUGUUAGAUUAGCAUUCAGCUCCUCAACAACUGAUUUCAGCUUCUUGUUGAAAAGCUGGGAUGCUUCCUCCAUAAUUUCCACGCAAGUAGAACCAUUUGUGCCAUAUUUUUCAAUUGAACCUGGUGUGCAACCUAUUUGCCCCACCCCAAACAAGGCAAUUUUUCGUGCUCCAUAAUCGUACAGGGUCUAAAAAUCCAUUCAAAAGAAAUUCCAUUACAUUACAAAUUAAAAGAAGGCCAAAAUCACUUACCAACCUUUAGUUGCUGGGUGUAUUGUUGAAUAAGAAGUUGAGUAAACUGUUGCAGGGUAUAUUCUUUGCUUGUAUUAUAAUACUCGGGCAAGAAGUAGUUGUUAAGGUAAUCAUUGUUGCCCAUUCCAACAGAAUAUAAGCACCGGCUCAGAUACCAUUCAGUUGCCCACGUUGUUCCCAGUAUGUCAACCAAAUCCAAGAUAGUGGUUUGGUGAUGUUCUAACUGCAUAUCAAGGGGUACACGCUCACCCAACUGCUGCCCUGUUUCAUUCCGAAUUCCUGCGGAUCCUGACGCAUAAUUCACCCCAAAGAGUAUGUCAGUGCCAGAGGCAGUUGCGAAAGGUGGAAUAAAAUUUUGGAAACCCAACAGUUCAGCAAUUACAUCGACGGUGGUCCGACCAUUGGUGAACCUUCCAGUGGGGCCAAAAGGGAAAUCAAUCCCAUAAGGUGCAUAAUUGACUUUAGCAAGGGUAUCAAGGAAAUUAUUAUUGCCAUUAUCGGCCAACGAGUCUCCAAAAAUGAAAUAGCAAGGUAACUGUUGAUAACCUUCUGCAAUCUGUUGCAAAUCCACCAUGAACAAAGCAGCUAUCACCCACCACCAUGACUUCCCCAUUGGGCAAACCUAGCUAGCUAGAAGAAACAGAUGACUAAAUGAGUUUACGAGUACUGGAGAGGUUUUGGUGGGUUGUUUCAGUGAUGAAUCAAGAGAUGUGGUGGUAGAUGGAAGUACAUACUAUUGAUGACUAGCAAGAGAAAGUGGCGAUUGAGG
rnacentral:misc_RNA from 1 species